GACGAACGCUGGCGGCGUGCCUAAUACAUGCAAGUCGAACGCUGAAGAGAGGAGCUUGUUCUUACUGGAUGAGUUGCGAACGGGUGAGUAACGCGUAGGUAACCUGCCUUGUAGCGGGGGAUAACUAUUGGAAACGAUAGCUAAUACCGCAUAACAAUGGAUGACACAAGUUAUCUAUUUGAAAGGGGCAAUUGCUCCACUACAAGAUGGACCUGCGUUGUAUUAGCUAGUAGGUGAGGUAAUGGCUCACCUAGGCGAUGAUACAUAGCCGACCUGAGAGGGUGAUCGGCCACGCUGGGACUGGGACACGGCCCAGACUCCUACGGGAGGCAGCAGUAGGGAAUCUUCGGCAAGGGGGGCAACCCUGACCGAGCAACGCCGCGUGAGUGAAGAAGGUUUUCGGAUCGUAAAGAUCUGUUGGAAGUCAAGAACGUGUGUGAGAGUGGAAAGUUCACACAGUGACGGUAGCUUACCAGAAAGGGACGGCUAACUACGUG
rnacentral:rRNA from 1 species